rnacentral:sRNA from 12 species
UUUUGAUAAAGCAAUAAUCGGCAACUCAGUGAAGAAGGUUUAGUUAGCCUUGCUGAGAACGGGUUAAAUGCAAAGUUUUGGUUAUAUGGGAUACUGUAUGACUGGGGCUUCCUGUUGAUAGUGAUUGAUAUAGGAUAGAGACAGAAGUCUCAAAUGCAAGAUUCGGUUGCCGGUCUAUAUGAGCAAAACGUCUAAUCAACGAGUCGGAGCGAUAAUUGAGGAGAUUCACAGUCAAAUGGGAAUCGAUGCGGCUCUUAAGUUCUAUAUGGGGACAUAUAUGAUUACUGAGAGUAAUUCCAAAACAAGCUCUUGCCGAUGACCUGGAGAAAUCCGGCUAUAAGACAAAACAGAUUAGGGCGAGUACCACAAGGCAAAUUUUGAUACGUUUGAUAGUAAUAAUCAAAUUUAUUGAAUUCUAACAAGAAAACUGAAUAACGUGGGAAAGUUGGGAGUAUCAAUCUCCUCAGAGUGUCAGGUGGGGUAUACCACCGGGGCAUACAGGUUAGGGCGACGGCCCGAAACCUCAGGUAUGUUUCCUCUGUGACAGAACAUUGCGUAAUAUAGGCUUUAGGUAGGGCGAAAGUCCGCCGAUUGUUGUAUUUUUAU